rnacentral:rRNA from 1 species
AAAGGAAUAGACGGGGGCCCGCACAAGCGGAGGAACAUGUGGUUUAAUUCGAUGAUACGCGAGGAACCUUACCCGGGCUUGAAAUGAAGAGGAAUGUUUAGGAAACUUUACAGUCAGCAAUGACCUCUUUGUAGGUGCUGCAUGGUUGUCGUCAGCUCGUGCCGUGAGGUGUCGGCUUAAGUGCCAUAACGAGCGCAACCCCUAUUGUUAGUUACUAACAGGUUAAGCUGAGGACUCUAACGAGACUGCCACCGUAAGGUGUGAGGAAGGUGGGGAUGACGUCAAAUCAGCACGGCCCUUACGUCCGGGGCGACACACGUGUUACAAUGGGAGGUACAGAGGGUCGCUACCCAGCGAUGGGAUGCUAAUCUUAUAAAACCUCUCUCAGUUCGGAUCGGAGUCUGCAACUCGACUCCGUGAAGCUGGAUUCGCUAGUAAUCGCGCAUCAGCCAUGGCGCGGUGAAUACGUUCCCGGGCCUUGUACACACCGCCCGU